CGAGCGGGAAUGCAGAGGCGGAAUUUUUCGGAAGGAAGCCUUUGUGUUUUAGCGGCGGACGGGUGAGUAACGCGUGGAUAACCUGCCCCAUACCGGGGGAUAACAGUUAGAAAUGACUGCUAAUACCGCAUAAGCGCACGGAGCCGCAUGGCGCAGUGUGAAAAACUCCGGUGGUAUGGGAUGGAUCCGCGUCUGAUUAGCUAGUUGGCGGGGUAACGGCCCACCAAGGCAGCGAUCAGUAGCCGACCUGAGAGGGUGGCCGGCCACAUUGGGACUGAGACACGGCCCAAACUCCUACGGGAGGCAGCAGUGGGGAAUAUUGCACAAUGGGGGAAACCCUGAUGCAGCAACGCCGCGUGAGUGAAGAAGUAUUUCGGUAUGUAAAGCUCUAUCAGCAGGGAAGAAGAGAGACGGUACCUGACUAAGAAGCCCCGGCUAACUACGUGCCAGCAGCCGCGGUAAUACGUAGGGGGCGAGCGUUAUCCGGAUUUACUGGGUGUAAAGGGAGCGUAGACGGUUAAUCAAGUCUGAAUUGAAAGCCCGCGGCUCAACUGCGGAACGGCUUUGGAAACUGAGUAACUAGAGUGCUGGAGGGGCAGGCGGAAUUCCUGGUGUAGCGGUGAAAUGCGUAGAUAUUUUGGAGAACACCGGUGGCGAAGGCGGCCUGCUGGACAGUAACUGACGUUGAGGCUCGAAAG
rnacentral:rRNA from 1 species